AACGCGAAGAACCUUACCUACUCUUGACAUCCUAGGAAGCUCACGUAAUGGUGAGUGUGCCUUCGGGAACCUAGAGACAGGUGCUGCAUGGCUGUCGUCAGCUCGUGUUGUGAAAUGUUGGGUUAAGUCCCGUAACGAGCGCAACCCCUAUCCUUAGUUGCCAGCACGUAAUGGUGGGGACUCUAAGGAGACUGCCAGUGAUAAACUGGAGGAAGGUGGGGAUGAUGUCAAGUCAUCAUGGCCCUUACGAGUAGGGCUACACACGUGCUACAAUGGGGCGUACAGAGGGUUGCCAACCCGCGAGGGGGAGCUAAUCCCGAAAAGCGCCUCGUAGUCCAGAUUGGAGUCUGCAACUCGACUCCAUGAAGUCGGAAUCGCUAGUAAUCGCGAAUCAGAACGUCGCGGUGAAUACGUUCCCGGGCCUUGUACACACCGAUAGC
rnacentral:rRNA from 1 species